ensembl:lncRNA
GGGCGGGGGAGGAACUACAGCAGGGCGGCGGGAAGCGGGGAGGGGCGGGAUGGAGCUGCCGGCUGCCGGCUUGGUGGCGCCUGGGCCGGCGGGAGGCUCAGCGCGGCGGUGGGUGCGGGGCCCCACCCGCUAUCAUGCGCCCGGUCCUGGGCCGUACCGCUGGUCUUCAGCGGGUGCUGCAGCAACGUGGUUUUCCUGGAGCUCCUGGUCAGGAUGAAAAACCUCAGAAAGGAUUGUGUGGUUAUCAAAAAAGCAAGCAGUGGAAAGCCAGAACAUUUCAGAGUCAACACUACAAUCAAAAGAAAGCCAAACUAAGUGUGGCAAUGCACGGUUUGGGUACCAAAAGAACUUGGCAAUGCCUUGAGAAGAAGCACUCUCUGAGAUGAACUUACCUAUCCAUAACAAAGUCAGCUAUUCACUGAGCAAGCAGAAGAAUAUUUUACUUCCAAUUGUACAGUGGUUAAACCAGGGCUGCACUUCUUAGCAGCCUUGAACAGUCCACAAAAAGACACAUUUUACCAGUUCCUGAUUAGCCAGCAGCAUACCGGGGGAAAUAAUUUCUCCACCCCCUCAAGUGUCUCUGUGCCCCCAAUGAGAGCAGUAUCAUUAGGCACAGACCUACCAGUGUGCAGUAUUGUAGUAGCGGUGUCAGUCUCAGGAUAUUAGAAAGACAAGGUGGGUGAGGUAAUAUCUUUUAUUGGGCCAACUGCUGUUGGUGAGAGACACAAGCUUUCGAGCUAUACAGGCCUAACAGAUUGGGUUUUCAAGCCUCCUAGCCCUGGUCAAGCAAUUAAGGCCCCUAAGUCAAUGAGGUUCUAUAUAGAGGCAUGAGUCACGUAGAUCUGGUUGCAGGAUCAGAGCCCAAGAUGAUAACCUAAAAAGAAGAGAGGUGACUGGCAGCAAAGCAUCACACCUGAUAGGGAGGGAUAGCUCAGUGGUUUGAGCAUUGGCCUGCUAAACCCAGGGUUGUGAGUUCAAUCCUUGAGGGGGCCACUUAGGGAUCUGGGGCAAAAAUCAGUACUUGGUCCUGCUAGUGAAGGCAGGGGGCUGGACUUAAUGACCUUUCGGCGUCCCUUCCCGUUCUAUGAGAUAGGUAUAUCUCCAUAUAUUAUGAGAUAGGUAUCAGAAAGAGAUCCAUAUGAAACAUCACCUGAGAACACUGCAGAUAAAUCAACCUCACUAAAUGUAAGAUGCCGACGUGCAGCAGACUUCUUUAAAGGUGACCGGAAAAAAGGACUUUUCCCUUUUUAAAUUGGGCACAUGCUUUUCUCCUUUAUGAUGUCUGAAGGAGGCCUGAUAGGUGAUGGACUCUAUAUACACAUGUACAUAAUGCAAGACAGAGAGCGACACUGUAGCCAGUCCCUUCCUGACGACAGAGAGAAAUCCAUUGGAACAGCCAUUUGGAUGAGAUGAACUGAACAAGCAAGUCCAUUAUGCCAGGACUCCCAAACUGUGGUCCACUUUCUAAUGGUCUGCUGAGAGCUGGCUGGUCACAUGGUUUUGGCUAUUCUAGUUGUUUCCAGCGGCAAAAUUGCAUCAAGAGAUUCCUGCUACCCCUUCCAGACAGCUGCUGUGGUUCCCGGACGCUAACAGUUAUGUGAUUGGGAAUGGGCAGAGAGGAGGCUGAAAAGCUGCUCUCUGUAAUGAGUUCUAGCCCAGUGGUUCUCAACCAGGGGUAUGCAGAGGUCUUCCGGGGGUACAUCAACUCAUCUAGAUAUUUGCCUAGAUAUUUACAACAGGCUACGUAAAAAUCACUAGUGAAAGCAGUACAAACUAAAAUUUUAUACAAUGACUUGUUUAUAAUGCUCUAUAUGCUAUACCAGGGGUAGGCAACCUAUGGCACAUGUGCCGAAGGCAGCACGCGAGCUGAUUUUCAGUGGCACUCACGCUGCCCGGGUCCUGGCCACCUGUCCGGGGGGCUCUGCAUUUUAAUUUAAUUUUUAAAUGAAGCUUCUUAAACAUUUUAAAAAUGUUAUUUACUUUACAUACAACAAUAGUUUAGUUCUAUAUUAUAGACUUCUAGAAAGAGACCUUCUAAAAAUGUUAAAAUGUAUGACUGGCACGCGAAACCUUAAAUUAGAGUGAAUAAAUGAAGACUCGGCACACCA